rnacentral:tRNA from 1 species
GGGGCUAUAGUUUAGGGGGGGGAAAUAGGUCGCUGGCAGCGAUCAGUUGGCGGUUCGAUUCCGCCUAGCUCCA